rnacentral:rRNA from 1 species
ACGCUCGACACCUACGGGAGCAGCAGUGGGGAAUAUUGCACAAUGGGGGAAACCCUGAUGCAGCGACGCCGCGUGGAGGAAGAAGGUCUUCGGAUUGUAAACUCCUGUUGUUGGGGAAAAAGAGGAUGGUACCCAACAAGGAAGUGACGGCUAACUACGUCGCGNNCGCGUAGUAUGAGCGGCGNGNGAGAG